rnacentral:pre_miRNA from 1 species
AGUGAGAUAGCUGGGUCAAAUUGUGAUUCCAUUCCAAGUUUUAUAAGGAAUUUCCAUAUUGCUUUCCAGGCUGGUUGCACCAAUUUGCAGUGCCAUCAGCAAU